rnacentral:rRNA from 1 species
CGCGUGGGAAUCUGCCCUCAGGAGGGGGAUAACGGUUGGAAACGGCCGCUAAUACCCCAUAUGCCGAGAGGUGAAAUGAAUUUCGCCUGAGGAUGAGCCCGCGUCUGAUUAGCUAGUUGGUGAGGUAAGAGCUCACCAAGGCAUCGAUCAGUAGCUGGUCUGAGAGGAUGAUCAGCCACACUGGGACUGAGACACGGCCCAGACUCCUACGGGAGGCAGCAGUGGGGAAUAUUGCACAAUGGGCGAAAGCCUGAUGCAGCCAUGCCGCGUGUGUGAAGAAGGCCCUAGGGUUGUAAAGCA